UUAAGCGACUAAGCGUACACGGUGGAUGCCCUGGCAGUCAGAGGCGAUGAAGGACGUGCUAAUCUGCGAUAAGCGUCGGUAAGGUGAUAUGAACCGUUAUAACCGGCGAUUUCCGAAUGGGGAAACCCAGUGUGUUUCGACACACUAUCAUUAACUGAAUCCAUAGGUUAAUGAGGCGAACCGGGGGAACUGAAACAUCUAAGUACCCCGAGGAAAAGAAAUCAACCGAGAUUCCCCCAGUAGCGGCGAGCGAACGGGGAGCAGCCCAGAGCCUGAAUCAGUGUGUGUGUUAGUGGAAGCGUCUGGAAAGGCGUGCGAUACAGGGUGACAGCCCCGUACACAAAAAUGCACAUGCUGUGAGCUCGAUGAGUAGGGCGGGACACGUGGUAUCCUGUCUGAAUAUGGGGGGACCAUCCUCCAAGGCUAAAUACUCCUGACUGACCGAUAGUGAACCAGUACCGUGAGGGAAAGGCGAAAAGAACCCCGGCGAGGGGAGUGAAAAAGAACCUGAAACCGUGUACGUACAAGCAGUGGGAGCACGCUUAGGCGUGUGACUGCGUACCUUUUGUAUAAUGGGUCAGCGACUUAUAUUCUGUAGCAAGGUUAACCGAAUAGGGGAGCCGAAGGGAAACCGAGUCUUAACUGGGCGUUAAGUUGCAGGGUAUAGACCCGAAACCCGGUGAUCUAGCCAUGGGCAGGUUGAAGGUUGGGUAACACUAACUGGAGGACCGAACCGACUAAUGUUGAAAAAUUAGCGGAUGACUUGUGGCUGGGGGUGAAAGGCCAAUCAAACCGGGAGAUAGCUGGUUCUCCCCGAAAGCUAUUUAGGUAGCGCCUCGUGAAUUCAUCUCCGGGGGUAGAGCACUGUUUCGGCAAGGGGGUCAUCCCGACUUACCAACCCGAUGCAAACUGCGAAUACCGGAGAAUGUUAUCACGGGAGACACACGGCGGGUGCUAACGUCCGUCGUGAAGAGGGAAACAACCCAGACCGCCAGCUAAGGUCCCAAAGUCAUGGUUAAGUGGGAAACGAUGUGGGAAGGCCCAGACAGCCAGGAUGUUGGCUUAGAAGCAGCCAUCAUUUAAAGAAAGCGUAAUAGCUCACUGGUCGAGUCGGCCUGCGCGGAAGAUGUAACGGGGCUAAACCAUGCACCGAAGCUGCGGCAGCGACGCUUAUGCGUUGUUGGGUAGGGGAGCGUUCUGUAAGCCUGCGAAGGUGUGCUGUGAGGCAUGCUGGAGGUAUCAGAAGUGCGAAUGCUGACAUAAGUAACGAUAAAGCGGGUGAAAAGCCCGCUCGCCGGAAGACCAAGGGUUCCUGUCCAACGUUAAUCGGGGCAGGGUGAGUCGACCCCUAAGGCGAGGCCGAAAGGCGUAGUCGAUGGGAAACAGGUUAAUAUUCCUGUACUUGGUGUUACUGCGAAGGGGGGACGGAGAAGGCUAUGUUGGCCGGGCGACGGUUGUCCCGGUUUAAGCGUGUAGGCUGGUUUUCCAGGCAAAUCCGGAAAAUCAAGGCUGAGGCGUGAUGACGAGGCACUACGGUGCUGAAGCAACAAAUGCCCUGCUUCCAGGAAAAGCCUCUAAGCAUCAGGUAACAUCAAAUCGUACCCCAAACCGACACAGGUGGUCAGGUAGAGAAUACCAAGGCGCUUGAGAGAACUCGGGUGAAGGAACUAGGCAAAAUGGUGCCGUAACUUCGGGAGAAGGCACGCUGAUAUGUAGGUGAAGCGACUUGCUCGUGGAGCUGAAAUCAGUCGAAGAUACCAGCUGGCUGCAACUGUUUAUUAAAAACACAGCACUGUGCAAACACGAAAGUGGACGUAUACGGUGUGACGCCUGCCCGGUGCCGGAAGGUUAAUUGAUGGGGUCAGCGCAAGCGAAGCUCUUGAUCGAAGCCCCGGUAAACGGCGGCCGUAACUAUAACGGUCCUAAGGUAGCGAAAUUCCUUGUCGGGUAAGUUCCGACCUGCACGAAUGGCGUAAUGAUGGCCAGGCUGUCUCCACCCGAGACUCAGUGAAAUUGAACUCGCUGUGAAGAUGCAGUGUACCCGCGGCAAGACGGAAAGACCCCGUGAACCUUUACUAUAGCUUGACACUGAACAUUGAGCCUUGAUGUGUAGGAUAGGUGGGAGGCUUUGAAGUGUGGACGCCAGUCUGCAUGGAGCCGACCUUGAAAUACCACCCUUUAAUGUUUGAUGUUCUAACGUGGACCCGUGAUCCGGGUUGCGGACAGUGUCUGGUGGGUAGUUUGACUGGGGCGGUCUCCUCCUAAAGAGUAACGGAGGAGCACGAAGGUUGGCUAAUCCUGGUCGGACAUCAGGAGGUUAGUGCAAUGGCAUAAGCCAGCUUGACUGCGAGCGUGACGGCGCGAGCAGGUGCGAAAGCAGGUCAUAGUGAUCCGGUGGUUCUGAAUGGAAGGGCCAUCGCUCAACGGAUAAAAGGUACUCCGGGGAUAACAGGCUGAUACCGCCCAAGAGUUCAUAUCGACGGCGGUGUUUGGCACCUCGAUGUCGGCUCAUCACAUCCUGGGGCUGAAGUAGGUCCCAAGGGUAUGGCUGUUCGCCAUUUAAAGUGGUACGCGAGCUGGGUUUAGAACGUCGUGAGACAGUUCGGUCCCUAUCUGCCGUGGGCGCUGGAGAACUGAGGGGGGCUGCUCCUAGUACGAGAGGACCGGAGUGGACGCAUCACUGGUGUUCGGGUUGUCAUGCCAAUGGCACUGCCCGGUAGCUAAAUGCGGAAGAGAUAAGUGCUGAAAGCAUCUAAGCACGAAACUUGCCCCGAGAUGAGUUCUCCCUGAGACUUUAAGUCUCCUGAAGGAACGUUGAAGACGACGACGUUGAUAGGCCGGGUGUGUAAGCGCAGCGAUGCGUUGAGCUAACCGGUACUAAUGAACCGUGAGGCUUAACCU
rnacentral:rRNA from 1 species